rnacentral:rRNA from 1 species
AGAGUUUGAUCCUGGCUCAGGACGAACGCUGGCGGCGUGCUUCAUACAUGCAAGUCGAGCGGAAAGGCCCUUCGGGGUACUCGAGCGGCGAACGGGUGAGUAACACGUGAGUAACCUGCCCCUGACAUCGGGAUAGCUCCGGGAAACCGGAAUUAAUACCGGAUAUGAUCUUGGCCGGCAUCGGCUGUGGUGGAAAGGGUUUCUGGUUGGGGAUGGACUCGCGGCCUAUCAGCUUGUUGGUGUGGGUAAUGGCCCACCAAGGCGACGACGGGUAGCCGGCCUGAGAGGGCGACCGGCCACACUGGGACUGAGACACGGCCCAGACUCCUACGGGAGGCAGCAGUAGGGAAUAUUGCGCAAUGGGCGAAAGCCUGACGCAGCGACGCCGCGUGGGGGAUGAAUGCCUUCGGGUUGUAAA